AAUAUCUAUCAUUUCUACAACCAAGAGUAACAGUUUUUUUUUUUUUUUUUUUUUAAGAUUUAUUUAUUUAUUAUAUGUAAGUACAACUGUAGCUGUCUUCAGACACUCCAGAAGAGGGCGUCAGAUCUUGUUACAGAUGGUUGUGAGCCACCAUGUGGUUGCUGGGAUUUGAACUCCGGACCUUUGGAAGAGCAGUCGGGUGCUCUUACCCAUUGAGCCAUCUCACCAGCCCAACAGUUUUUUUAAAAAGAAAAAUUGCCAACUUCAGUAAAGAUCUUGAAAAUACAAAACAUAAAAUAAAAUAUCUGAAAUUAAAUGGGUCAAGAGCAGAAGGCUUUCUUAAUAGUCACAAAUCAUGAAUUAUAUUAUAGAAGUUUCUUAGAAACUACCCAGAAGGCAAGGGACUUGUGGCCACAAACCAUUUAAUCAAGUAAGGCACACCCACUCUGCAUGCAAACACUGUCUAUCAAUUGCCCAUUCUACCAAUAAACACUGCUUCUUUCUUUCAAUAACUGAAUCAAGCAGUUGGCUCUCUUGUUUAGAGGACAAACUUCUAGUGUACCUGAGUCCACCUAAGAAACUGGCAAGCCUGCCCUCCCUGAAAACCCAUACUAUUUUAGGAACCAAACAGUUUAAAAUUCCCCAAGAACUCGGAUUAAAGAGACUUCUUGAGUCCCACUAAUGACUGGAAUCUCCCAAAUUCAGCUAAUAAAAACCAAAUGUUCUUCCCCCUGGGACAAAAUGCAUUUGAAAGAAAAAAAAAAUCUCACAAGUUAUUGGUAGUUAUAUUUUUUUUCUGUAAGACCUGAAGCCUAAGGUGUCUCACCCUGCCAAAUCCAAUAGAUACAACUCCUAUUAUGACUACCAUUCUGAUUCCUACUCUUAUAACCAAGCCCCUUCCCUCUCAUACUACCCCACUAAAUCCCCAGUCAGUUUCCCUUCUGUGGCAAGGUAGAAGUAAGCCACCCUCCUUAGUUAUUUGGCUCACUUUCUGACAUUACAUUUGUUUUUGCUAUGCUUGACUUCUGUUUAAUAUAAUUUAUGCUGUCGUGCCUCCUUGCAAUUGAAUUCUACUGAUUCUGGCAAUUAGAAGUCUUUUAUACCUAUAAAUAUCUAGUCAAAACUACUCCCAAAAAGGUGAUGAUGGCACAUGCCUUUAAUCUCAGCACCUGGGAAGCAGGGACAGGCAGAUCUGAGAGUACAGGAUAGCCAAGGCUUCACAGAAAAGCUCAGUCUUGAAAAAUAACAAAAAGCAAACAAAACAAAACAAGAACAACAAAAAACUACCCCCAAGGCCUGGCAGUGGUGGUGCAUGCCUUUAAUCCCAGCACUUGGGAGGCAGAGGCAGGCAGAUUUCUGAGUUUGAGGCCAGCCUGGUCUACAGAGUGAGUUCCAGGACAGCCAGGGCUACACAGAGAAACCCUGUCUCGAAAAAACAAAAACAAAACAAAACAAAACAAAAAAACCUUUUAUAAAGAAAAUGUCUUUUAAAAGUGUUAAUUGCACACAAAACCAAAUAUGUCAUAUGCUUUUUAAUCAACUGUUAAAACCACAGAAACUAACCCCUGGUGACUAAGAUCACUGCACAUGGAUCUUGUGAAAAUGUGACGCAAACCUUCUGGAAGUCUUUUUAAAAAAGGAAUCCUGUCAAUUGAUAGGAAUUCCCAGCACCUGGAGGUGAAGUCAGCAAGAGAAAAGAGUUCCAGGGCCAGACUGGACUAAAGAAGACCCAGAAGCCAUCCAUCCACCCACCCACCCACAUCUUGAAGUUCUUUCCAGUUCUAAUGUGGCCAAAUGUUCCUCAGGCUACCAGGAGCCCUUUACCUUCAGAAGGAAGACUGGCACUCCUUUCAGGGCAGAGGGACAUUCACAGCUCUAUCAUUCAGCGCUCCUCUAGUGGAAACUCUGGCUACUUUUCGUCAUUGAACAGCAGUAACCUCUGUUUUGUAAUACCUCCUUACCACAUUAUCUACUCAUCAAACAGCCCCAUCCAGGAGUUGCUUUUAACAUGGGCAUUAAUCUCUUCAAACAUACCCUGGUGAGUGUAUACAGGUAUCAGAGGUAGCUGAUUCCCCUUAGAGAAGAAAGCCUACGAGUUUAUAACUUCUCUCCUGUGCAUUAAAAAGCAAUGUUAAGACAUGAUGUGAGCAAACAAUUUUACAUUUCAUCCAUGCAAUAGUACUUUAGUGAAAGCAAGACCCUUGGGUAUCUAGUUUGCAUCUUACUGUGUAUUUUCAGAAAAAGAAAAAGAAAAAAAAAAAGGCAAUACUCCCCCUUCAGGAUGCAAGGAAAGACAGGUAGGAGCUGGAGCACAUAGAUUUAAUUUAACACAACCAACUUCACGAACUAUUUUAAGAUAUUCUCUUUUUCUCAUAAACUUAGAGAUCUUAUUCCUUAUAAAUGUAGUACCUGCUUUAAAAUAAUUUGUGAAAAAUCGUUUUCUCGAAAAGAUAGUAGUACAGCCCUUAGGAUAUUCUAUCACAGCUAGUCACAGAUUUUUAUAUUUCAUUUUAGUAACUUGGUAUUUCAUCUUAAUAGUUGCCAACCUCUGAAGAAAUACCAUGCUUACAAAUGAUAAUUGCUGGGAUUCCAGGAGGUCAGAACUUGACUUACUAUUUACUCAAAAUAUAACUCCUAGUGGCUUAUGUUAGAAAGCACCUCUAACACAUGCCCAGCUUUGUCUGGACUUCCUUUUUCCUCACAAAAGUCCUAACUCACCCAUUCAUCAGUUCUCUUCUAGCUCCAGUUACUCAACCUCCCAGAUACAUUCUAUACCUCCACAACGUUGCUCAUUAGCCAUUUUACACUUCUAGGGAAAACAGCACAUUCUUUCAUGGCUCAUAACAGACUGACUCCUCCCCACAUCCCCGUUUUUUGGAGGCAGGGUCCCUCAUCGCCCUGCUGUCCUAGAACCCACUAUGCAGACCAGGCCAGCCUGAGCUCAGAGAUAUACCUGCCUGAGGGCUGGGAUUACAAACAAGUCAUAUCAAACUCAGACUGCAAACUGACUCCUAACACACCUCCUCUCACACAAUUCUUUUUGAAAGCAAUCUUUUGACUCUUAAACACCUUACACACUCAAGGGAGGCCAAGUCUUUUCUGUGCACUCCCACUCCUAACCCUCAACUCUCCCCCAGGGUCAUAAGACUUGAAGAUAACCCUUUCAUACCACAGGAUUAACACAUCUAUCAGAGUUACUGAUUCAGGUAGGGGACAGGUUGCUAUUGCUUAGUAUCUAUGUUGAAGAUGAAAUAGGGUCACUGACCUAUCAAAACUACACCAAUCACACUCCUGCUAAGGGGAACGAGCAACUUUUAAAACCAUUCUUCCCGAUAUUUGCAUAAUUGGUUUAAAAAAUACUGCCAGGAGCCAGGGGGUAGAGUAGCACAUGCCUUGAAUCCUAGCACUUGGGAGGCAGAGGCAGGUCUGUGAGUUCGAGGCCAGCCUGGUCAACACAGUGAGUUCCAGGACAGCCAGGGCUACACAGAGAAACCCUGUCUCAGAAAAUAAAUAAAUAAAUAAAACUGUCAGGAAAGCCAGGUGUUGGGGUCUUAGUUGCUCUUGGGAGGCAAAGGCAGAUCUCUUUUAAGUUGGAAGUCAGGCUUAGUCUACAAAGCAGAACAGCCUGAGAGGGCUGUUACUCAGAGAAACCAUGUCUGGAAACAAGCAAAAUACUGCUAGGAAUUCAGAAUUCUGUAAGAUAGUUUAGAAGUUCAUGGAUAUGGUUGAUGAUUCAACUUCAGUUAAUUAAUACAAGGACUCAUGACAACUUACCACUGGAUUAAGCAACGCCCUCCACGAUAGCUCUAUUGCGCCGUGAAGGGGCCACCUAAAAUCCUAUCUGGAUGGUGGGAUGGGGGUCUCACCAAUCGCACAACGGGACAAUUUUCAAGACAAGACCCCCGAGGAGGUUCCCUGCCAAGGUUUUCCCCAUAAAGGAAGUCCAGAACGUGAUAGGAAGAGGCUGUCCGGUUGUGCUUCCACAACUGCACUGCCUAACUUUCUCAGAGCGUCAGCUUCCUUUUGGGGCUGCAAGACUCUACAGGAAGCAUGUACUCGAGGGGACCCGGGCAGGAACCCGAGAAAGUAUCGCCGGACUUCGAGGGAAAGAUUUCCUCUGCUUCCCACUAGGAGCGGCCUGCACUUUUUUUUUUUUUUUUUUGCGUGAUCCACAUGGUUAAGAACCAGAGACUUGCAGAGGAAGCCCAGCCUCCAGGGCCCUUCAGAACAGCAAAUGCUGAGGAGCCGGGCAGACCUCAGGAGUCCCGCGUGGCUGAGGAGCCCCGGGAGGCUGGAGAGCCAGGCAGAACUAGGGGACACCGCACACCUAAGAAACCAGAUUGACGUCGCAGCCUCUCUGGAGAAAGAGCCACCGCACGGGAAACACUUCAGCCACAGGUUGAGGACCCGCAGUGCACACGCACAAAUGCACGGACGCUAAGAGGAUCAUGCAAGAGGAAGGAACUUGUGCACUUCUGUUGUGCCUUUAUUCCACGGAAUUGUUACCGAUGGAUUCGUUUUUAUGCUGGAAAGAACAAGGAAGGACAAUGUUCCAACUGCUGGACCUGUUAGGGACAUGCUGACAUCUUAUACCAACCAAGUGCUACCCACUGAGAUGCAUUCGCAGCGCUGAUUUAGAAUUCAAUCUUAGGUAUCACAUUGUAUUUCCCAUGACUAUAAUUAAAUGGAGGACAGCUCAUGGAAUGCCUGCAAGAAUGAUAAGUGGUCCUGUUGCUAAAACUUCUUCCCAGAAGGAGAAAGAACAUAUGCCCCUUCUAAGGCUCCAAAGAAAAACUGGGGAACCAGCAAGUCUAUUGUGCUUCAGGGAUGACGAGUCACUUACAGGGUGUGGUUGCUGCUCUGGGCAACAGGCUGUACCUGGAAAGGCUUUAUCCAGCAAGGAUGAGCCCCGCCCCCUAUACUCUAGCCCCUCCCAGAAGCUGUGUACAAUUAAGGCGUGGUUGCAUAUAACAAGUGCUAGGGAACAACUGAAUACUCAAGAUGGGGGCCUUGGUGACCAUCCCCAGGCCCCCUGUGUCAACAACCCCAGCUGGGAUGGGUGAUCCUUGUGCAAAGGGGCACCGGCUGGAGUUUCCCCAUGAUGGCAGUGGCUCUGCUUAGAGGGCAGUCAGUCACAACAGGUCCAACCAAGAAAAAGGAUAUCAGUACAAAAACUACUCCAAACAGAGCGAGGUUAAUGCCAGGAAUUGUUGAUAGAAGAGCUGAGAAGUCCACAGGAAGUAGUAAGUCAGGGUGAAACAGCGGGGUGCUACCAGGACCUGAAGUGCAGAGAGCUUAGCCUUUCUGGGAUGCAGUAAUAAAAUAAAUAAACACAAAUGGAAGGGCUCAGGCACUGGCACUUAACUUGUUUUUUUCUUUUGUUUUUCUUUUUUUGGUUUUUUCGAGACAGGGUUUCUCUGUGUAGCCCUGGCUGUCUUGGAACUCACUUUGUAGACCAGACUGGCCUCGAACUCAGAAACCCGCCUGCCUCUGCUUCCCAAGUGCUGGGAUUAAAGGCGUGUGCCAUCAUGCCCGGCGCACUGGCAACUUCUUACUCACAGCUCUGUAGGCUAGAAACCCAAGACCAAGGGCCUGGUAAGGUUUUAUUCUGAAGUCUUCCCUUGGCUUAUGGGCAGCUCCAUUGCAUUUCGUGACUUCUCUCUGUGUGGACCACCACAGAAAUCACCAAUAAGCUCUCUGCUAUCUCUCGUUUUUACAUUUAAAAAGACAUUUCUUUUACGUUCUGUUUUUUCAUGACAGAAUACCAUGCAGUCCAAGUUGGCCUGGGACUUAAUCUAUUGAGGGUACUCUUGAACUUCUGUUCCUCCAGCUUUCCACCCCCCACCCCCGCCCCCACCGCUAUUGUAGCCUUGGCUGGUCUGGAACUUGUUAGGUAGACCCGGCUGGUCAUGAACUUGCAGUGAUCCUCCUGCCUCUGCUUCCUGAGUGCUGAGGGCGUUUGUUUUUCCUUGCUUAGCUGACUCUUGCUUCGUAAGCACAUGUUCUCAGUCCAUCUGGAUGUUGCUUGGUAUUCAACUGAGUUCAGGGUGCAAGGGUUCCCGGACACUCCCACUUUGAUGUGAGAAGGUCUGCCCAGGCCUGAAAUGUGUUCAGAAAGAACCUGAGAAGUGAUGUGGUCUUUCCAUUUACCUCGUUGUGGAGUAAGAGGAAAUCUACCCCAUGGCUGAUUCCAAAGUGUAGUUGUACCAUUUACUGUGGGAGUUGAAGUUCAAAUACACGCUGGGGUCAGAGGCAGGAGGACUACUGCAAGUUCUGGUCUAUAUAACAAGUUCUAGGGGGCUGGAGAGAUGGAUCAGCGGUUAAGAGCUCUGACUGCGCUCUUUCAGAGGUCCUGAGUUCAAUUCUCAGCAACCACAUGUUUGGCUCACAACCAUCUGUAAUGGGAUCUGAUGCCCUCUUCUGGUGUGUCUGAAGACAGCUACAGUGUACUCGUAUAAAUAAUAUUUUAGCAAGUCCUAGGUCAACCGAGGCUGCAAUAGUGAAGGGGUGGGGCCAGGAGGAUGAGGAGGAGUUCAAGGUCAUCCUCAGAGAUAUAUCAAGUGGUAGGGGUGGGGUGGGCACGGUGAGGACCUCAGUCCGGGUCAGCAAAGCUGCAUCCAGGGAGGGGACCGAGAACUAGAGAGCCUCUGAGCAAAGCUGGUUUUGUGCCAGGCUUGCAAUCUCAGGACUUAGAAAACUGAGAUACGAGGAUUACCAUAAGUGUGGGGCCAGCCUAGGUUGUAUAGUUCCCAGCCAACCCAGAUGACUCAGCAAAACCACGCUUCAAGACAAGCCCCCAACAUAAUUAAAAAAAGAAAACCUACUGAGCUGCUCCAGGCUGUUGUUGCUACGUGGUGGUGGGGAGGGGCAGGAAGGGGGAGGCACGAGGGGUGGGGGUGUGAAGGGAGGGGAGUGGUUUUGUUGGUUUUAGUUAUAAGUCAACCUUUUAUGUGAAUUUUACUAGUUUUAAAUACGGACAGCAAAGAAAAGCGUUUUGAAGUCUGAUGGGGGUCACUGGACUGCAGUCUCUGAGAUAAGCAACGAGGGUAGGCAAGGAGGUGGAAAAGGAGACCCUCCAAGACGGAAUGAGUGGGCUGAGGUCAACAAGGAAAGGGGCCGGCCUGUGGACACUGCUGCCAUCAGAGAGGGACACUGAGAAAAGAUAAUAAGGAUGCAGGCGCUUUGAAAGUCUUGUGCUGGAUAACUUCAUUCUAUUCAUAGCGAACCUUCAGGAGAACAGACUUUCAGCUCGGCUGCCAGGCCAGGCCUGCGCUCUCCCUGUGUAUUCCAGUGCUGUGAACUUGGCUCCUGGGAAGCUGGGUCACACCUGGUUUGUACUGAAUCUCCACCUUGCUUUGAGUCCAGAUCCCAGGCGGGUUUGUUGGAUGGGGAGUCUGGAAAAUCAAGUAAUUCAGGAUGAAGGAUUUAGUGGAUGAAAGAACUGGGCUUGAGUCCUUAGUCCCAAGUCCCUGAUUUUGUACUCUUAGCAUCUGCAACGUGGCCAUAAAACAGUGCCCUCCCCACAGUGUGGUAGAGGUGAAGCAAUCUCAGCACCAGGGAGGCAGAGGCAGGCGGAUCUGUGAGUUCGAGGCCAGCCUAUAGCCUACAGAUAGAGUUCCAGGACAGCUAGAACUACAGUACAGGGAAACUCUGCUUCAAAAAACAAAAACCACUCCUCCAAAUGGGAAAAUGAAUGUUUAGCUCCAUAUUUAGUAACUAGAGUGCCUGAACUUGGGUUUAAUCUGAGCACCCACAUGAUGGAAGGUGAGGAGAGCUGACUUCUGCAAGUUUUCCUCUGAUCUCUGUAUGCACUCUAUGGCAUACACACACCCGUAUACUCACAUAAAUAAAUAAAUAUAAAAAUCUUUAUUUUUGCCGGGCAGUGGUGGCGC